CAUUUGGAGACACGCUACCGGCAGCAAAUGUAUUACUAUCUUUGUUUGUAUUGGUGCUAUUUUCCAUUUCGCUUCGCUCUCAGAUGCACGCUUUACUCCUGACGCCACUAUGGUGGCGUCAGCCAUCUUCGCUGGUGGUUUCACCAGCCUGCCAGGGACUUACCAGCUUCUAUAAAUGAAAAGCACUAUUAGGACCGACAAAAAAACAGUCGACGAUUGCACAUUAAAACAAGAUUGAACAAAGGGAGUUAAGAAAAAACACCGGAAAAAAAACACGUCAGUCACACACGGCUGCCAAAAAGG